rnacentral:rRNA from 1 species
CUACGGGAGGCUGCAGUGAGGAAUUUUGCGCAAUGGGCGAAAGCCUGACGCAGCAACGCCGCGUGAGUGAUGAAGGCUUUCGGGUCGUAAAGCUCUGUCAAGUGGGAAGAACCUAUAUAAUGUUAAUACCAUUAUAUACUGACGGUACCACUGAAGGAAGCACCGGCUAACUCCGUGCCAGCAGCCGCGGUAAUACGGGGGGUGCAAGCGUUAUUCGGAAUCAUUGGGCGUAAAGAGCACGUAGGCAGCCUGGUAAGUCAGAUGUGAAAGCCCGGGGCUUAACCCCGGAAGUGCAUUUGAUACUGCCCGGCUUGAGUAUGGGAGAGGGAAGUGGAAUUCCUGGUGUAGAGGUGAAAUUCGUAGAUAUCAGGAGGAACACCGGUGGCGAAGGCGACUUCCUGGACCAAUACUGACGCUGAGGUGCGAAGGCGUGGGUAGCAAACAGGAUUAGAUACCCGCGUAGUC